GCUUGGAUUUACUCUCGGCAACGUGGUUGGAAUGUAUCUGGCUCAGAACUAUGAUAUACCAAACCUGGCUAAAAAACUUGAAGACAUUAAAAAGGACCUGGAUGCCAAGAAGAAACCCCCUAGUUCAUGAGGCCGACUCCAGCCCUGCCUUCUGGAUUCUACUAUUGUCGAGGGCCUUCUUUACUCUGAACCAAAAGCUUUUGUUUUAAUUUCCAGCCUCAGCAGUUUUCUUCAUUGUGUUGCCUUAGAGCACAAAUGGGGCCACAAGUUAAGAACUACCCUUAAUUUUCCAACAGCAUCACUUCUUCCCUUCCUCCUUCCAGCCACUUGGGAGGCCCUGAAACUGGAAUUAUGGUGCUAGAUUAGUAAACAUGACCUUUAAUUAGUAGUCUCUCCCUUUUUCUUUGGAAUUUCUAUUACCUUUUUUCAAAAGAAAAAUUGAUAAAUUUUGUAUAGCAGAUGAGAUAUAAAUAAUGCUGAUUUCACAUUCUAGCAAUUAUAUAAUGGGUAUUUAAACAUUCGGUACUUAAUUAUGUUAUUUCAAAAUAGUAGUUAAAAUCAAGAAGCCAGUUCCUGGUGAAUUAUCCAUUGUUGUCAGGAAGCUGCAUAGUUGCUAUUGUAACCACUAUAUCAAUUUGCUAUUCAUUAACCAAGAAACAGUGUUCUGAGAACCCUGAGAACUUACAAAUAUUUAAAAUAAUGGCCGUUGUCCUCAAUAGUAUUCCUAGUCUAAUAUUCAUGUUGUUUUUUAAUGAUGUGUUUGAUCUGGUUCUUUUCCCUCGUAAGAAUCAUACUUUAUGGGAUAACAGGUGCAUGUGACAUUACCUGGUGGAUAAAUGAGAAGUUGAUUAUAAGGGAAGUUUUAUGCCUUUUUAUAUUUAAAAAAUAUGUUUACAUUAUAACUUUAUAGUGAGCCCCUGAGUGAGUGGGUUAAGGAUCUGGCAUUGCUCAGUCUCAUAGGAAGCCUUUUUGUGUUUUUUUCCUGCAAUCAGAAAUUGCUCUCUUAGUUUGUCAAAUGUAUAAUCAGUCCACAUUUUUUUAAGUGAAAAAAAUUUAAAUAGGUAACUUCCCCUUGGGUCAGUACAAAAGUGAUUUAGAAUUAAGGACUUCUCCCACCCAUGUCCUGCAGCUCCUAAUUCCUCUUCCUGGAGUCAGGCACUGUUGCCAGUUUUUUUGAAAAAGAUUCUGUCCCUAAACAAACAUGUUCAUGAGGGUUAUUAUACAAAUGAUAACAAGCUAUAUACAGAAUUUUCCUCAGUGGAGAUCAUUCCAUAUCCGUAUGUAAGGAACAAAAAACCUCUUCCCCUUUUGUGACUGCAUAAGGUUCUGUUGAAUGAAUAUGCUGCAGUUGAUUUAGUCAGCUCCUGGUGAACAUUUAGGUUGUUUCCUGUCUUUUGUUAUUAUGGUGAUAACCUUAAACCUAAUAUUGUUAUGCAUAUCUAUGCCAGGGAUAGCGCCAAGCUAAAGCCCUAGAAGUGUACUUUACCCUGUAGUUUCUAGGGCUUUACCAAGCUAAAGCCCUCGAAGUAUAGUUUGUUGGGUAUCAGCUUCACUGAUAAUGCCAUUCCUGGAAACAUUUUAGCAGAAUUAGUAAACUGGAAGGAUGAUUUUAGAGACACCUUUUUUUCAGACACUGAUGGCACUGACAGUAAAUGUGAUUAUACAGUGAGGUGAUUCUACUUUUCUUUGAAAACGUGGAUCUUUCAAACAUGGAGAUACAUUUUGUCCCUGUCAGGUUGUCCUGGUUCGUGAGACAAAUUAGGACCUUAUUAUAGUUUGUCUUCUCCUCAGACAGAGUGUGAUCAGGGGCAAGUGGCUUAUUUCUCCAAAACUGUUGUUUUCUCUUUAAGAUGUGGCUGCAGUACCUACCUCAUAGGGCUUCCAUGAGAAACUGUUGAGAUAACAUACGUGGUGUGUAGCACAGUGCUUUGCAGAUUGUCCAAUAAAUAGUAGAUAUUAGUUGGAACGUGCUGCCUUUGGUCAGAAUACUUUUUUCUGCACUCACUUCUGGAACCAGUUUAUGAACCAUGCAAAAUGUGUCAUUCUCUUUGUAAAAUGAAAAUCUGUAGUAUCCACUGUGAUCAUACCACCUGGCUUACCAGGUUUGAUCUUAAAUGACUGAAUUGUUAGCAGAAUGAACUACAGCCUUGAAGGAUAAUGGUUUACCAUCUUGAUAGGUAUUCAAACUUUCACAAGCUUAGAAAGCUGUUUUCAAAGAGGGAUUCAUUGUUAUCAGCCAUGGAGCCUUGAUGCUUGUGUGUAUGGUCUCCCAGGUGGCUUCUUUGGGGAUGUGAGUCACUUAGAUGUUGCAUGAUGAGGUCUCUAUAAUUGUACUUGUAAAUGAGGCACGAUUGGACUUGGAGCUUCCCCUCGGGAGUGACACUUAACCUUGCUGACGGGAUCAUCUCCACCAGUGGGAGCCACCCAGCUAAUCACCUUAAACGUGUGAACAGCAACACAAAGAGUGCAGGCCAACUUCAUGGUCACCAUUCAGAUUCCCUCUCCCAUUUCAGGCUCUUGUAGGAGUGAAAGGGAUCUGGAGUUCUCAGGCAGGAUUAUCUUCACGGAGACAUAUUGUUGGGGGACCUAGAACCAUUAUGGGUUUUAGGCGGUGUGGUGGUUGUGAUCGUGGUACUCAAAGUUAACAUUCUCUGGGUGUUUGGUAGAGGUCCCUGCAGAGGGGUGGGAAGAACUACUGCAAGACAUGCCUUUUUUUUUUUUUUCCUUUAAAAAAAUUNGGGAGUUCCUGUUGUGGCACAGUGGAAAUGAAUGCGACUAGUAUCCAUGAGGAUGCGGGUUUGAUCCUUGGCCUCCCUCAGUGGGUUAAGGAUCUGACAUUGCUGUGGGCUGUGGUGUGGGUUGCAGAUGUGGCUCGGACCCACUGUUGCUAUGGCUGUGGCAUAGGCCAGCAGCUGCAGCUCCUAGUGGACCCCCAGCCUGGGAACUUCCAUAUGCUGCCGAUGCAGCCCAAAAAG
rnacentral:lncRNA from 1 species